rnacentral:misc_RNA from 1 species
GAAACAUCAGCACAUGCUUUCAUAUAUCAUUUCCAGCCAAGCUAUUUACAGGCUGUAGAAAAACACAAAACGAAUCUUUGCCAGAUUCAAACAUUUCCACAAUCUCAAAUGCCACGGAUACAUAGAAAAUAAACAGGUAAGGAGGGAGGAUAUGCAGCGGAUGGGUUCCAAGGGCUUCUUUUAUCGUGCUGUGGAACAGCAUUACUCCAACAGUAACAAUCCUCAAUCGAUGUUAAUUUAGAAGAUACGUAACAACAGGCUUCAGACAAAAGGGUAAGGAGCAAGGAGAUGGCUGACUUCAAGAAACACUUGGGAAGGAUAACCGAUCUCGCAGUGUGUCAAAAAUUGAUGAAGCGGCUGCAUUUUGAGAAAAUGUCUGCUUCAGCCUCCCAAGUAAUUCAUUAUCUUUAGCCUGAGUAGCAGCAUCAGCAGCCUCCUUGGCCAUUCCAAUUCGAGCGUAAGCCUCUGCUCUUUCACGAGGAUCAGUCAGCUUUGGUAUGUACUUUAGUGCUUCACCUUUCUCAUUUGCAUCAACACAUGCUUCGACAAAUGGGCGGUAACCAAUUGGUGGCCUUUUUUCCUUUGAAAACUUUUCCAAGGCAUCCCAAUCCCUAAUUGUUGC